rnacentral:rRNA from 1 species
AACGAACGCUGGCGGCGCGCCUAAUACAUGCAAGUCGAGCGAGAAGACGUAGCAAUACGUUUGUAAAGCGGCGAACGGGUGAGGAAUACAUGGGUAACCUACCCUCGAGUGGGGAAUAACUAGCCGAAAGGUUAGCUAAUACCGCGUACGCUCCUUGGACUUCGAUUCAGGGAGGAAAGCGAUACCGUGGGUAUCGCGCUCUUGGAUGGGCUCAUGUCCUAUCAGCUUGUUGGGAGGUAACGGCUCACCAAGGCUUCGACGGGUAGCUGGUCUGAGAGGACGAUCAGCCACACUGGCACUGCGACACGGGCCAGACUCCUACGGGAGGCAGCAGUAAGGAAUAUUGCGCAAUGGGCGAAAGCCUGACGCAGCGACGCCGCGUGGGGGAUGAAGGUCUUCGGAUUGUAAACCCCUUUCGGGAGGGAAGAUGGAACGAGCAAUCGUUCGGACGGUACCUCCAGAAGCAGCCACGGCUAACUUCGUGCCA